UACGUAGGGUGCAAGCGUUAUCCGGAAUUAUUGGGCGUAAAGGGCGCGUAGGCGGCCACGCACGUCCGUUGUGAAAUCGCUCGGCUCAACUGGGCGGGGUCAGCGGAUACGGAGUGGCUGGAGCAAGCUAGGGGGCAAUGGAAUUCCCGGUGUAGUGGUGGAAUGCGUAGAUAUCGGGAGGAACACCAGUGGCGAAGGCGGUUGCCUGGAGCUUUGCUGACGCUGAUGCGCGAAAGCGUGGGGAGCGAUCCGG
rnacentral:rRNA from 1 species